rnacentral:rRNA from 1 species
GCCCUCAGCAGGGGGAUAACACUCCCAACGGGGUGCUAAUACCGCAUGAGACCACGGGUCCGCAUGGACCUGAGGUCAAAGGUGGCCUCUGCUUGCAAGCUACCGGCUGAGGAUGGCUUCGCGUCCCAUUAGCUAGUUGGCGGUGUAAAAGACCACCAAGGCGACGAUGGGUAGCUGGUCUGAGAGGAUGGUCAGCCACACUGGGACUGAGAUACGGCCCAGACUCCUACGGGAGGCAGCAGUCGAGAGGCUUUGGCAAUGGGGGAAACCCUGACCAAGCGACGCCGCGUGGAGGAUGAAGGCCCUUGGGUUGUAAACUCCUUUUGUUGGGGAAGAACUGCGAUCAGGUGAAUAAUCUGGUCGUUUGACGGUACCCGACGAAUAAGCUCCGGCUAACUCCGUGCCAGCAGCCGCGGUAACACGGGGGGAGCAAGCGUUGUUCGGAAUCACUGGGCGUAAAGGGCGUGUAGGCGGUCAAGUAAGUGGGAUGUGAAAUGCCCCGGCUCACCCGGGGACCUGCAUCCCAAACUGCUUGGCUCGAGUAUGGGAGAGGAUGAGGGAAUUCCUGGUGUAGCGGUGAAAUGCGUAGAUAUCAGGAGGAACACCGGUGGCGAAAGCGCUCAUCUGGCCCAAUACUGACGCUGAGGCGCGAAAGCUAGGGGAGCAAACGGGAUUAGAUACCCUGGUAGU